rnacentral:lncRNA from 1 species
CCACAUAUAGAAGAGAUUCAAAAUCAAUGAGUAGUGCAGCAUUUCAGCAAGGUGCUUAAGGGGAAUACCCUAACCCUCAGAUGUCAUAAUAAAAUUCAUUAAAUUCAUUGUGUGUAAACACUCACAGUGUUUCUAUGUUGUGCAGAUAACGUUUUGCACAUGUUGGUAAGUGAUCGUAAACACCAAGAUUUUUGUUUUGGUUUCUAAUAUAAUGUUGCUUUAGCAUGAUUUCAAGUUUUCGACGACAACAACACUUCAUAUCAUGUUAACUAAUGCUUUGAAUACAAGUUUUUUGUUGCCCAUCAUUUUUAAUUAGUUUUGUUGUCAGUAGAAUCUGAAUCCAGAUUAAUUCUGAGACCUUUGUUAUACAGGUUUAUUCAUAAUGUUUCUCUUACAGAAUAUAGUUUAUAGAUUUAUAUUAUAUGAAGAUAUUGAAACAAAGUCAACCUUUUUAUGGAGACAUCCUCUUUGAAGAGCCUCAAACAUAUCAUAUAUUAUUCACCAAUAAAUUGACAAUUUUAAUUCUGGUGGCCUUCUUACUCAGCCCAUUCAAAGUUUAGUUUAAUUUUUAGCAACUAAGUGUUUUUUGUUCGACCACUCCGUGCAUUUUUUUUUAGCGGUAGCAAAGUCGGUGGAGAAGUUAACUCUGCGAAUGGUAACGUUCCACUAAAAGCACAAAACAAAUUCAAUUUAGUGGACAAGUUAUUCAUCGGAUGGCGUAUCUGACUUCUCCUAUGUCAUGUUGCAGACAAGUUUGUUUACACAUACUCUUUGUGAAGUCUCUUUAAAUUUAUCUCCUCAUAUUUUGUCUUAAUUCAUGUUUUUAUUCUUUGAUUAUUUAUUUAUUUAUUUCAUAUAUACUUGGGCAAGUAGUGUUUCUUCAGAUCCACUUCAUCUUCCUGCUUUUGUUGUCAUUGAUGUAUUGAAUUGUAGAUUGAAAUCUAAACAUCUAUUAAUCGCUUAGUCGAACAUUAUUUUCUUUUUGGAUUCUUUCAAGUAAACUGGGAAUUUCAUAUUUAGCCCAAAAAAAUCCAUUUUUAUAUCGUUUUUUAGAUUCUUUAUAAAAACUUUUAUGUCAAUUUGCAUAUACACUAAAAAAUCUUUUUCAGAUGUCUGAGUGUAUCUAUGAAUCAUUGACAAUGAGUUCAACAGGUCAAAAGUUGGUGGAACAAAGGGAUUAUCAUUAAAGAUGCGUGUUAGCCUUGGAGAUGUACUAAAGUAUCCAGCAUUAUGUAGUUGAUACCAUUCAGGUACAAUAUACGCAAAUUGACAACAUACAUACUACUAUAAUAGAUAGAGCUAUGAUAUAGAUUAUAUUCUUGGUGAUUAUCUACAUUGUUCGCAACUUUACAUAAUGUAGGUGUUGGUGAUAUAGCUAUAUGAGGGGAUUUUUUAUUAAUGACACGUGGUCUUUUCUUAGUACUCUCAAGUCUAAAGACCCUGGUCUAGGGGUUAGUCUCUCUUUCUCUAUUAAUUUUGUUAUGGGAUCAAUUUUUUCUUUUUGAUCAAAUAUAAAUUUUAGUAAUCAACACAAAUCCAAGUUACAAUCGUGAUCAAAGGGUGUUUAUAAAUCCCGUCAGGUGAUAAUACUCGAACACAAGAAAUACAAUUCAGACCCUACUACACAGACCCACAGUGGUACAAAUUGUGUUGUUGAUAGUACCAGUACCAGUCCAUCGCUACUACCUAUACAGAGGUGUUUGUUGCCAUGUUUUGGUGUUGCUCUGUUCCUCCGUUACUGAUAUGCGUAAAUUGUUGUCCAUCCUAUUCGGAGCUCAUAAAAGUUAUGACCUUCAGUCCUUCUUUGCUCACUGCCAUUUAUGCCCAAGAUGUUGCCUGAAUUUUGUCCUUCUCUGUCCUUCAAUCUGAACCUUACUCUGAAUUAUGAAUUUUUAAUUUACUAAUAUUAGGAGUUAACUAAAUAUUUUUUCUUAUAAAUUUAAUUUUUUUUUAACUCCAACAUAUUAGUGUAAAGUGUAAACGUCACUGUGAACUCUUCCCCUCUUUAAAUAUUGUUGCAAUUCUCAUGCUCCAGAGUGUCCAAAGUAUUGCAUGUGGACUGCAACCCAAAUUCCUCACUACAACAGAUUUGGGUAUUUGCAACGCAAUAUUUUUGUCACUACAUAUGCUACUGAUCUGCCAAUCUAUUUGCCUAAAAAGGAUGCUCAUAAAGUGCCCUCCUAAGCUAAAUAUUAGGUAUGAUAUAUUCUAAUGUUACCAUUUUGCACUGCAGGGGUUUAGAUUGUGUUCUAUCAACAUGUUCAAGUGACUUGACGCUUUACCCGCUACAACAAUUUGCAAGCUUUCAUGAUUCAUAUUAGCAGAACAUGUACAAGGUUUAAUUGAGUAGCUACAAUCAAUAUCAUAUGGAAGGGGAAAAAAAUUAUUCAAGUCCAAAAUCUUCUCAUUGUUUAUUGACAAAAAAUAAAAACUCAUUGUUUAUUGACAAAAAUAAAUAAAUAAAUAAACCUCUUUAUUAAAUGAGUAUUUAUCAUUAUAUAGAAUUUUUGUGAUUGGUUUUGAAUAAUGAGUUGGGGAAAAUAGUGCAAAAGGAUAAAUAGUGCAAAAGGAUUGGAUGUGUUUACUUAUAUAGUAUAUGUUUGUUUUAUAGAUAUACUAACAGGUAAAACCUAUGCUGUCAAAGGCGGAGCGGAGCGCCAGGCGUUGGGAUUUCUGCAGACCGCCUCCAUCGCUCCGGCGGCGCUCCGGCCAGAAGUUACAAAUCACUUUAUAUUGUAUAUAAAGUAUAAACUCUGAAUUUCUGAAAAGUAUGUAAACUUCGUGUAUUAUACAGAUCACGGUAUAAAUGUAUAAUAGUAUAAAAACUUGAUUAGAACUUUAGAAGAAGAACA